rnacentral:tRNA from 1 species
CAUUCUGUGGCUUAGUUGGUGAAAGCGUCGGUCUAGCGAAUACCGAGUUGUGGGUUCGAAUCCCACCGAAACGC